CCUACGGGCGGCAGCAGUAGGGAAUCUUCCACAAUGGGCGAAAGCCUGAUGGAGCAACGCCGCGUGGGUGAAGAAGGUCUUCGGAUCGUAAAACCCUGUUGUUAGAGAAGAAAGUGCGUGAGAGUAACUGUUCACGUUUCGACGGUAUCUAACCAGAAAGCCACGGCUAACUACGUGCCAGCAGCCGCGGUAAUACGUAGGUGGCAAGCGUUGUCCGGAUUUAUUGGGCGUAAAGGGAGCGCAGGCGGUAAUUUAAGUCUGAUGGGAAAGCCUUCGGCUUAACCGGAUUAGUGCAUUGGAAACUGGUAGACUUGAGUGCAGAAGAGGAGAGUGGAACUCCAUGUGUAGCGGUGAAAUGCGUAGAUAUAUGGAAGAACACCAGUGGCGAAAGCGGCUCUCUGGUCUGUAACUGACGCUGAGGUUCGAAAGCGUGGGUAGCAAACAGGAUUAGAUACCCCUGUAGUC
rnacentral:rRNA from 1 species